ACUGUUGACAAAUGUUCAAAACUUCAGGUUGUUUAUAGUGAUGUUUACAUGCUUGAUGACAAGAUGAAGUGGCAUACAUUGCCACCUAUGCCAAAACCCGUUUCACAUAUAGAAACAUCAUGGGUAGUUCUUAACAAUUCCAUUGUGAUCGCGGGGGGGAACAACCGAGAAAAAUCCUGUGACAAAGCGAAUGAUAUUAGUUGGAGAGUUGUUCCGGUUUGAUCUUGACUCACAGAAAUGGCACGUGAUUGGAAAACUUCCUUAUCGUGUGAAAACUACGCAAGCAGCAUACUGGAAGGGAUGGUUUUAUAUAACGUCGGGACAGCGAGACAAAGGACCAGAUAAUCCACAACCGAGGAAAGUUGUGGCGGACUUAUGGCGAACCAAAUUGAGCUUGUAAAAAGUUUGUUCUCAUUUCCCAAAAAAAAAAACGUCUAUUCUUUUUGCUCGUUUCAUUUGCGGCAAAAAAGUAUACAGUCUAGAGUAAUUUUGUUCCGGUUUUGAUAGUUAAUGCAUUUAGUCAUACCAUGAUAAA